UACGGGGGGAGCAAGCGUUGUUCGGAUUUACUGGGCGUAAAGGGCGCGUAGGCGGCCAGCACAAGUCAGUUGUGAAAUCUCCGAGCUUAACUCGGAAAGGUCAACUGAUACUGUGCGGCUAGAGUGCGGAAGGGGCAACUGGAAUUCUUGGUGUAGCGGUGAAAUGCGUAGAUAUCAAGAGGAACACCUGAGGUGAAGACGGGUUGCUGGGCUGAUACUGACGCUGAAGCGCGAAAGCUAGGGUAGCAAACGGG
rnacentral:rRNA from 1 species